rnacentral:tRNA from 1 species
GGGGCUGUAGCUCAGUGGUAGAGCACCCGCCUUGCAUGUGUGAGGCACUGGGUUCAAUCCUCAGCACCACA